rnacentral:rRNA from 1 species
AAAAAAGGUAAGCUACUAAGAGCGAAUGGUGGAUGCCUUGACUGGUAAAGGCGAUGAAGGACGUACUAGACUGCGAUAAGCUACGGGGAGCUGUCAAGAAGCUUUGAUCCGUAGAUUUCCGAAUGGGGCAACCCAAUGUAUAGAGAUAUACAUUACCUAUAUAGGAGCGAACGAGGGGAAUUGAAACAUCUUAGUACCCUCAGGAAAAGAAAUCAAUAGAGAUUGCGUCAGUAGCGGCGAGCGAAAGCGCAAGAGGGCAAACCCAGUGCUUGCACUGGGGGUUGUAGGACUGCAAUGUGCAAGAGGUGAGUUUAGCAGAACAUUCUGGAAAGUAUAGCCAUAGAGGGUGAUAGUCCCGUAUGCGAAAAACAAACCUUAGCUAGCAGUAUCCUGAGUAGGGCGGGACACGAGAAAUCCUGUCUGAAGCUGGGUCGACCACGAUCCAACCCUAAAUACUAAUACCAGAUCGAUAGUGCACAAGUACCGUGAGGGAAAGGUGAAAAGAACUGAGGUGAUCAGAGUGAAAUAGAACCUGAAACCAUUUGCUUACAAUCAUUCAGAGCCCUAUGUAGCAAUACAGGGUGAUGGACUGCCUUUUGCAUAAUGAGCCUGCGAGUUGUGGUGUCUGGCAAGGUUAAGCAAACGCGAAGCCGUAGCGAAAGCGAGUCUGAAUAGGGCGCUUAGUCAGAUGCUGCAGACCCGAAACGAAGUGAUCUAUCCAUGAGCAAGUUGAAGCUAGUGUAAGAACUAGUGGAGGACUGAACCCAUAGGCGUUGAAAAGCCCCGGGAUGACUUGUGGAUAGGGGUGAAAGGCCAAUCAAACUUCGUGAUAGCUGGUUCUCUCCGAAAUAUAUUUAGGUAUAGCGUUGUGUCGUAAUAUAAGGGGGUAGAGCACUGAAUGGGCUAGGGCAUACACCAAUGUACCAAACCCUAUCAAACUCCGAAUACCUUAUAUGUAAUCACAGCAGUCAGGCGGCGAGUGAUAAAAUCCGUCGUCAAGAGGGAAACAACCCAGACUACCAGCUAAGGUCCCUAAAUCUUACUUAAGUGGAAAACGAUGUGAAGUUACUUAAACAACCAGGAGGUUGGCUUAGAAGCAGCCAUCCUUUAAAGAAAGCGUAAUAGCUCACUGGUCUAGUGAUUUUGCGCGGAAAAUAUAACGGGGCUAAAGUAAGUACCGAAGCUGUAGACUUGCGCACAACUUAGAUUAUUUAAGUUUAGAAUAUGAGAAACUAAGUUAUAUGUUUAGUUAUAUUUUUACUGAUUUUUAUAGAGUAAAGAUAGAAAUAAAACUUAGUAAAAUCAGUAAAAAUAUUCUUAGAUUAAAGUUAAGUAGUUUAAGUUGUGUGCAAGUGGUAGGAGAGCGUUCUAUUUGCGUCGAAGGUAUACCGGUAAGGAGUGCUGGAGCGAAUAGAAGUGAGCAUGCAGGCAUGAGUAGCGAUAAUUAAUGUGAGAAUCAUUAACGCCGUAAACCCAAGGUUUCCUACGCGAUGCUCGUCAUCGUAGGGUUAGUCGGGUCCUAAGUCGAGUCCGAAAGGGGUAGACGAUGGCAAAUUGGUUAAUAUUCCAAUACCAACAUUAGUGUGCGAUGGAAGGACGCUUAGGGCUAAGGGGGCUAGCGGAUGGAAGUGCUAGUCUAAGGUCGUAGGAGGUUAUACAGGCAAAUCCGUAUAACAAUACUCCGAGAACUGAAAGGCUUUUUGAAGUCUUCGGAUG